CCUACGGGGUGCUGCAGUGGGGAAUAUUGGACAAUGGGCGAAAGCCUGAUCCAGCCAUGCCGCGUGUGUGAAGAAGGCCUUCGGGUUGUAAAGCACUUUCAGUGGGGAAGAAAGCCUUGGGGCUAAUACCCUCGAGGAAGGACAUCACCCACAGAAGAAGCACCGGCUAACUCCGUGCCAGCAGCCGCGGUAAUACGGAGGGUGCGAGCGUUAAUCGGAAUUACUGGGCGUAAAGCGCGCGUAGGCGGUCUGAUAAGCCGGUUGUGAAAGCCCCGGGCUCAACCUGGGAACGGCAUCCGGAACUGUCAGGCUAGAGUGCAGGAGAGGAAGGUAGAAUUCCCGGUGUAGCGGUGAAAUGCGUAGAGAUCGGGAGGAAUACCAGUGGCGAAGGCGGCCUUCUGGACUGGCACUGACGCUGAGGUGCGAAAGCGUGGGUAGCAAACAGGAUUAGAUACCCUAGUAGUC
rnacentral:rRNA from 1 species